rnacentral:rRNA from 1 species
UGGGUUAGUGGCGGACGGGUGAGUAACGCGUGGGUAACCUGCCUUACACAGGGGGAUAACACUUAGAAAUAGGUGCUAAAACCGCAUAAGCGCACAGCUUCGCAUGAAGCGGUGUGAAAAACUCCGGUGGUGUAAGAUGGACCCGCGUCUGAUUAGCUUGUUGGCGGGGUAACGGCCUACCAAAGCGACGAUCAGUAGCCGGCCUGAGAGGGUGGACGGCCACAUUGGGACUGAGACACGGCCCAAACUCCUACGGAAGGCAGCAG